rnacentral:tRNA from 1 species
GGGCGGUUAGCUCAGUUGGUUUAGAGCAUUCGCUUGACGUGCGAAAGGUCACAAGUUCGAAUCUUGUACCGCCCA